rnacentral:tRNA from 1 species
GCGGGAGUAGCUCAAUUGGUAGAGCAUCAGCCUUCCAAGCUGAGGGUCGCGAGUUCGAGCCUCGUCUCCCGCUCCA